rnacentral:rRNA from 1 species
AUUGAACGCUGGCGGCAGGCCUAACACAUGCAAGUCGAGCGAGCGGCGGACGGGUGAGUAAUGUAGGGGGACUGCCCGAAAGAGGGGGAUAACUACUGGAAACGGUGGCUAAUACCGCAUACUAUGGGAUAACCGAUAUGGGAUUAUAUAGUAGGUGGGGUAAAGGCUCACCUAGGCGACGAUCCCUAGCUGGUCUGAGAGGCUGAUCGUCCACACUGGGACUGAGACACGGCCCAUACUCCUACGGAGGCAGCAGUGGGGAAUAUUGCGCAAUGGGCGCAAGCCUGAUGCAGCCAUGCCGCGUGUAUGAAGAAGGCCUUAGGGUUGUAAAGUACUUUCAGCGGGGAGGCGUUACCCGCAGAGGAAGCACCGGCUAACUCCGUGCCAGCAGCCGCGGUAAUUC